AACGAACGCUGGCGGCAGGCUUAACACAUGCAAGUCGAACGCCCCGCAAGGGGAGUGGCAGACGGGUGAGUAACACGUGGGAACGUGCCCAAAGGGUCGGAAUAUUCCCGGGAAACUGGGAGCAAUACCGAAUGUGUCCGCAAGGAGAAAGAUUUAUCGCCUUUGGAUCGGCCCGCGUCGGAGUAGCUAGUUGGUGGGGUAAAAGCCUACCAAGGCGACGAUCCGUAGCUGGUUUGGGAGCACGACCAGCCACACUGGGACUGGGACACGGCCCAGACUCCUACGGGAGGCAGCAGUGGGGAAUCUUGGAAAAUGGGCGCAAACCUGAUCCAGCCAUGCCGCGUGAGUGAUGAAGGCCUUAGGGUUGUAAAACUCUUUCGCCGAGGACGAUAAUGACGGUACUCGGAGAAGAAGCUCCGGCUAACUUCGUGCCAGCCGCCGCGGUAAUAC
rnacentral:rRNA from 1 species